UACGUAGGGUGCAAGCGUUAAUCGGAAUUACUGGGCGUAAAGGGUGCGCAGGCGGCUCCGCAUGUCGGGCGUGAAAUCCCCGGGCUUAACCUGGGAAUUGCGUCCGAAACUAUGGAGCUGGAGUGUGGCAGAGGGAGGUGGAAUUCCACGUGUAGCGGUGAAGUGCGUAGAGAUGUGGAGGAACACCGAUGGCGAAGGCAGCCUCCUGGGCCAACACUGACGCUCAUGCACGAAAGCGUGGGGAGCAAACAGG
rnacentral:rRNA from 1 species